UCCCCAUUUGGACAUUUCCCACCUGAUGUUGCAUUGCAGUUUCAUGUUGGGAUGGAAGGCUAACUCUCUGUCCUCUGAUCUUAUAGAUGAGAAUACUGGCACAACGACGAUGACAAGUCCGACAGUGGCUAACAGCGGAUGGCGGCCGGCGGCGUGACAGUUAGCGGCCGCGCCGUGGCCGUGUGGUGGGUGUGGUGAGCUGAUGAGACGAGACACUUUUUGGCCUGGUUUGGAGGAAUUUUUGGAGGAAUUUCAUAGAAAUUCUAGAGGAUAUGAUUUUUAUAAAAUUUAUUUAGAGCUUUUUGGUUCAUAGGAAUUGAUUCCUAUUUCUACAUAGGAUUGGUUUCUAUCCUUCACAUUUUAUAAAAAAAUAAAAAUGAGCCUAGGCUUAAUAAAAAGAUUCUUUUGGUGUCAAUCAAAUGACAUCUUUUUUC